rnacentral:rRNA from 1 species
GACGAACGCUGGCGGCGUGCUUAACACAUGCUAGUCGAACGGAAAGGCCCUGCUUUUGUGGGGUGCUCGAGUGGCGAACGGGUGAGUAACACGUGAGUAACCUGCCCUUGACUUUGGGAUAACUUCAGGAAACUGGGGCUAAUACCGGAUAGGAGCUCCUGCUGCGUGGUGGGGGUUGGAAAGUUUCGGCGGUUGGGGAUGGACUCGCGGCUUAUCAGCUUGUUGGUGGGGUAGUGGCUUACCAAGGCUUUGACGGGUAGCCGGCCUGAGAGGGUGACCGGCCACAUUGGGACUGAGAUACGGCCCAGACUCCUACGGGAGGCAGCAGUGGGGAAUAUUGCACAAUGGGCGGAAGCCUGAUGCAGCAACGCCGCGUGCGGGAUGACGGCCUUCGGGUUGUAAACCGCUUUCGCCUGUGACGAAGCGUGAGUGACGGUAAUGGGUAAAGAAGCACCGGCUAACUACGUGCCAGCAGCCGCGGUGAUACGUAGGGUGCGAGCGUUGUCCGGAUUUAUUGGGCGUAAAGGGCUCGUAGGUGGUUGAUCGCGUCGGAAGUGUAAUCUUGGGGCUUAACCCUGAGCGUGCUUUCGAUACGGGUUGACUUGAGGAAGGUAGGGGAGAAUGGAAUUCCUGGUGGAGCGGUGGAAUGCGCAGAUAUCAGGAGGAACACCAGUGGCGAAGGCGGUUCUCUGGGCCUUUCCUGACGCUGAGGAGCGAAAGCGUGGGGAGCGAACAGGCUUAGAUACCCUGGUAGUCCACGCUGUAAACGGUGGGUACUAGGUGUGGGGUCCAUUCCACGGGUUCCGUGCCGUAGCUAACGCUUUAAGUACCCCGCCUGGGGAGUACGGCCGCAAGGCUAAAACUCAAAGGAAUUGACGGGGCCCCGCACAAGCGGCGGAGCAUGCGGAUUAAUUCGAUGCAACGCGUAGAACCUUACCUGGGUUUGACAUGGAUCGGGAGUGCUCAGAGAUGGGUGUGCCUCUUUUGGGGUCGGUUCACAGGUGGUGCAUGCCUGUCGUCAGCUCGUGUCGUGAGAUGUUGGGUUAAGUCCCGCAACGAGCGCAACCCUUGUUCACUGUUGCCAGCACGUUAUGGUGGGGACUCAGUGGAGACCGCCGGGGUCAACUCGGAGGAAGGUGGGGAUGACGUCAAGUCCUCAUGCCCCUUAUGUCCAGGGCUUCACGCAUGCUACAAUGGCUGGUACAGAGAGUGGCGAGCCUGUGAGGGUGAGCGAAUCUCGGAAAGCCGGUCUCAGUUCGGAUUGGGGUCUGCAACUCGACCUCAUGAAGUCGGAGUCGCUAGUAAUCGCAGAUCAGCAACGCUGCGGUGAAUACGUUCCCGGG